CAAAUGCGAAACGUAUUGUGACAUGCCAUCUUUGAGAAACAACGAAUAUUUGAACGCACCUUGCGUCCGCGGGCCAGUGCGCGCGGGCAUACUUGAUUGAGCAUCGACAGCAGUCGCCCACCGCGCUAUGCGUGCGUGGGUGGACGUGGCGGUCGUGUGCGUUCGUUCGCAUGCGACGGCUGAAAGACAGCGUGGCGCAGGGCGCGCCGUGGGAUACGCGCAUGGCGUCAGCACGGUGUGCACCAGGUGCCAGGUCAGGCACCAGAAUUGGGUGGAUGGGUGGAUCGGGUGCACAGCACCCGCCAGCAAGAAAGAUCUCAGUCAAGUAGGACGACCCGCUGAACUUAA
rnacentral:misc_RNA from 1 species